AAACUGAAUAACAACACUCGGACUGCGCUGAGGCUGCGCAACAUUGACACGCAUAACUGCGGCUCGUUCUCAGAUAAGGAAGUGACUAAGGAGGUGAAAUUUUGAAAUUUGGCGGUAUUUCAGCGGAACAAACAGCCGCGAUGUCCAAACUAAGGAGAAAGAAAGCGGCGGCGGAGGAGAACAAACCCGGAGCGAAGUCGGGUUGCAGGGAUCUGCGGAAGAGUCUACUCAGUUCUGACGGAGACUCAUCCAGCACGAGCAGCGGGUCCAGCAGGCCCUGGUGGGCUGCAGCUGAUCUGGCAGCGGUGGAGAAACUGUGGGCGCUCACCCUGCAGGCCUUCUGUCCAGCAGUGUCCAGCACUCCUGCCAUGGUCUUCUGGGUUCCAGAGCUACCAGAGACCCCCACGUGGGCAGAGCAGGAGGAGCCGAGCGAGCGGCACUGGUGUUGUCUGGAUGAAGAUGUGAGUGAACUUCCUGCUCUAAGUGACUCACUGGGCUGCGUCCAAAUGCACAGUGAACCACACUUCUCUCCUAAUGAAGGGAACCGCCAGCCUGAAGCUUCAGCUCAGCUGCUGAGUGAAACGGGAGGUGAAUGGCAAACACUGAGCAGUCCUCAGCGCCACCUAGAGGACAUUCAGGCUCACUGUUUAGGAGAUGCAGGAUCGUUACACAGAUGGACCGAAAAGCCUGACUGGUCUGAGGGUGGAGAGUGUAAGCGGUAUGGGGACAGAGGCAGGUUACUGACGGGAACUCAAAAACCUGGAGGUGCGAAGGCGAGAGAGAGGAUCAAGCAUGGUUCCCAUGGCGACGGAGCUGAGAGCACAAAACUACAAGGGAGAAAGUUGGCAGGAAGAGAAUCUGAAAGAAAAUCCAGAGCGGAGUGUGAUAAAGCUGAAUCUGGGUCAUCUAAAUCCAGAACAGGAUCCGGAACGGGUUCCGAUGGUGCAGUAAGAGGAGGAUCUGGAUCCGCAGUUUUCCUCCUGGAGAACAACAGUGAGUGUAAAGCUGGGACAUCCAGAGGAGGAUCCGGAUCAGGAUUAGCAGAACCAAAGCUGGAGUGCUGUCCAAUGUGCCUGAUGCCGUUUCCUGCAGGGUGAGACUGUUUAUGCUAGUAGUUGAGCUAACAGUGCUAACACUGGUCAUAAUGA
ensembl:lncRNA